UAGAUCUAAACAAAAACCAUUUCAAACAACAAAAACCUCUCAACUUCUUUAACAAAAACCUCUCAACUUCUUUAACAAAAACCUCUCAACUUCUUUAACCAUUUGGCUGAAAACCAACACCUCAAACGAUGUCGAUGGCAUCCAUCCACCGCCAUACCGCCGACGACGGACCAUCCUCCGUCGUGACCUCUGGUCACCGCCACAAUUUUCGAUUCCAACAAAGAGGCUUCCACCACCAUCACUGUCGACGUGUGCCACCAUCGUAACUUCUCUUAUGACCGAACACCUCCAGUAAACGAACAACAACUCCGAAGCACCACCUACGACUGUUGUAUCUGAUGGUUUGUUAGGAUAUUUAUGAAUCUGAUGACUUUCCUUUACAGUUUGUGCUUAUAUUUGGUUCGAUUGUAUUGAUGUGUGCUUCGUCUCUGACACCUAACCUUGCUAGAACAUCUGAAAAACUCGCAUUCAUCUUUUCUCUUUGAUCUUCGGUGCUCUAACUCCGACAACCUCUUGAGGUCAGAUGUUUGUUUCUAUGCAAGUAAUUGUUAAGAUCGAGAUGAGCUCCACUCUAGUUGUUUCUGAUUUUGAUCGCUCAACAGAUUUAUAGAAACAUAUUUGAUUGAGAGUGUAGAGAGAACGAAGCCGAUCCUGUAGUCGCAGAUCAUGUAGUCGUUGCGAUAGAUCUAUGUUGAAAGUCAAGGAAAAACAAGAGAAAAACUUUGAUUUCGAUGGAGUAAUGAAGUUCUGGAAAGCUUUGAUUGUUAUGGAGAUGCUAAAAAAAUUGAUAAGGUACAUAUAACCAUAUAAUUUAAUCAUUUUUUUUGUUUUGUUUGAAUAUUACUUUUUACUUUUUGAUUUGUUUGGAUAACAAAUCGAGAUUAUCCAAGGCUUUUCUUGCUAGCUGUCAUAUAGCUUCUUUACAUUACUUUUUUUGCUAGCUAGCAUAUAGCUUCUUUACAUUUAUUUAUUUAGUCUGACAUAUCA
rnacentral:lncRNA from 1 species